AGAGAGAGACAUGCGUGCAUAUCAAUAAGCGGAGGAAAAGAAACUAACAAGGAUUCCCCUAGUAACGGCGAGUGAAGCGGGAAGAGCUCAAAUUUGAAAUCUUAAAGGGUUUCCCUUUACGAAUUGUAGUUUAAAGAAGUGUUUUCUGUUGAGGUUUUGGUAAAAGUUCUUUGGAAUAGGACAUCAUAGAGGGUGAGAAUCCCGUAUUUGACCUUUACUUUCAACUUUGUGAUACACUUUCAAAGAGUCGGAUUGUUUGGGAAUGCAGUCCAAAAUGGGUGGUAAAUUUCAUCUAAAGCUAAAUAUUGGCGAGAGACCGAUAGCGAACAAGUACCGUGAGGGAAAGAUGAAAAGAACUUUGAAAAGAGAGUUAAACAGUACGUGAAAUUGUCAAAAGGGAAGCGUUUGACACCAGUGUUGUUUUUCUGAAAAUCAAUUAAAGAACUGUUUAUGCUAAGUUGUUUAGACUUUAUCAGCUAACUGUUUAGUUUUGAGCUUUUCUUUAAUGCACUUUUCAGUUAACAAGUCAACAUCAAUUUCUUUUGCUGUAAAAAAGCUUGAGGAAGGUGGCUUGAGAUUCGUCUUAAGUGUUUAUAGCCUCUUGCCUAUGCAGUCGGAGAGAUUGAGGUCUGCAGCGUAGAUCCUUCGGGGCUAAAUGCAUUUGUGCUAAGUUAUAGCAUUUUAUAGACAACUUGUUGACUAUGAUUUGUCUUGUAGCUUACUCGCUUAUGUUAUUUUACCUACGCUUAGGAUGUUGACGCAUGAGAUAUACGC
rnacentral:rRNA from 1 species